rnacentral:rRNA from 1 species
UACGUAGGUGGCAAGCGUUGUCCGGAUUUACUGGGUGUAAAGGGCGUGUAGCCGGGUUGACAAGUCAGAUGUGAAAUCCUGCGGCUUAACCGCAGAACUGCAUUUGAAACUGUUGAUCUUGAGUACUGGAGAGGCAGACGGAAUUCCUAGUGUAGCGGUGAAAUGCGUAGAUAUUAGGAGGAACACCAGUGGCGAAGGCGGUCUGCUGGACAGCAACUGACGGUGAGGCGCGGAAGCGUGGGGAGCAAACAGG